GGCCAUGACUAACCCUGGAGUGUACAUAAUAUAUAAUUAUAAGCAUACUAUAGCAUGGAAAAGAUUGUUAAUAAAAAGAGACAGAGAAACAGUGCAUGAGAAAAGGAGAAACAAAAAGGACAACAAAAAUCAGUACAUGCUGUCUUGUAUGGAGGAUUAAUUGGAGCUUGCACUGGAGGAAGACAACAAUCCUUUUAAAAAACAUAGAAGUGAAUGGAGAUGUUUACAAAAGUGCAUGUAUAAAGAGACUAACUUCUUCAAUAGGGUAUGUCAUAUCUGAGUCAAACUGACUAAGAUCUCCACAUGCUAUGAAUGGCACAACAGAUUUAUUGACUUCUGGUAAACUUGACAAGUUGACUAAAAAUUACAACAAUGAAAUUUAAUGAAUACAA